rnacentral:rRNA from 1 species
UACGUAGGGGGCCAGCGUUGAUCGGAAUUACUGGGCGUAAAGGGUUCGUAGGCGGUGCGUCAAGUUGGGAGUGAAAUCUCUGGGCUUAACCCAGAGACGGCUUCCAAAACUGCUGUGCUUGAGUGUGGGAGAGGCUCGUGGAAUUGCAGGUGUAGCGGUGAAAUGCGUAGAUAUCUGCAGGAACACCCGUGGCGAAAGCGGCGAGCUGGACCACUACUGACGCUGAAGAACGAAAGCUAGGGGAGCAAACAGG